rfam:Schistosoma margrebowiei strain Zambia genome assembly, scaffold: SMRZ_contig0002596
AUCCAGCUAACGAGUCCCAAAUAGGACAAAUGCGCGUCCUAGAU